rnacentral:rRNA from 1 species
UGAGGAAUAUUGCGCAAUGGAGGAAACUCUGACGCAGCCAUGCCGCGUGCAGGAAGACGGCCCUACGGGUUGUAAACUGCUUUUAUCCGGGAAGAAACCCCAGGACGUGUCCUGGGUUGACGGUACCGGAGGAAUAAGCACCGGCUAACUCCGUGCCAGCAGCCGCGGUAAUACGGAGGGUGCAAGCGUUAUCCGGAUUCAUUGGGUUUAAAGGGUGCGUAGGCGGGGUGGUAAGUCAGUGGUGAAAUCCUGCAGCUUAACUGUAGAAUUGCCAUUGAUACUGCCAUUCUUGAGUGCGCUUGAAGUGGGCGGAAUGUGCCGUGUAGCGGUGAAAUGCUUAGAUAUGGCACAGAACACCAAUUGCGAAGGCAGCUCACUAAGGCGAUACUGACGCUGAGGC